rnacentral:rRNA from 1 species
GCUUAACACAUGCAAGUCGAGCGGUAGCACAGGAGAGCUUGCUCCCUGGGUGACGAGCGGCGGACGGGUGAGUAAUGUCUGGGAAACUGCCUGAUGGAGGGGGAUAACUACUGGAAACGGUAGCUAAUACCGCAUAACGUCGCAAGACCAAAGAGGGGGACCUUCGGGCCUCUUGCCAUCAGAUGUGCCCAGAUGGGAUUAGCUAGUAGGUGGGGUAAUGGCUCACCUAGGCGACGAUCCCUAGCUGGUCUGAGAGGAUGACCAGCCACACUGGAACUGAGACACGGUCCAGACUCCUACGGGAGGCAGCGGUGGGGAAUAUUGCACAAUGGGCGCAAGCCUGAUGCAGCCAUGCCGCGUGUGUGAAGAAGGCCUUCGGGUUGUAAAGCACUUUCAGCGAGGAGGAAGGUGGUGAACUUAAUACGUUCAUCAAUUGACGUUACUCGCAGAAGAAGCACCGGCUAACUCCGUGCCAGCAGCCGCGGUAAUACGGAGGGUGCAAGCGUUAAUCGGAAUUACUGGGCGUAAAGCGCACGCAGGCGGUCUGUCAAGUCGGAUGUGAAAUCCCCGGGCUCAACCUGGGAACUGCAUUCGAAACUGGCAGGCUAGAGUCUUGUAGAGGGGGGUAGAAUUCCAGGUGUAGCGGUGAAAUGCGUAGAGAUCUGGAGGAAUACCGGUGGCGAAGGCGGCCCCCUGGACAAAGACUGACGCUCAGGUGCGAAAG